GAACUCAAAAAUCAUUGUUUAUUUAAAAUCUACAACUGCUGACGUUUUGUAACGUUCGCAUUCCAGAUACAACAGAGAAAUGCAUAAUGUCCAGUCAAUUUAUUAAAGUUCCAAAGUCGGUCGCGCGCAGUGGCUCACGCCUGUAAUCUCAACACUUCGGGAGGCCGAGGCGUGUGGAUCACGAGAUUUCAAUAUGAUUAAAGCAGGAGUGAGGACACAGCGAAAGUGAGACAAGGAAAAGAGAACAAAAUAAAACAGGAAAGACAGAAAAGCCAAUACCACACGUGUUAAGAGUUUCAAGGAAAAUAUGUUGGGAGUUCCUGGCAUAGAGAAUGUCACAAAGACAUGUUUUCAAUAGUAGUGCUAUCCCGAGGGCAGAGAAGACCCAGAGAAAGCCCAAGUGGCUGCUGGAACAAAAUCAGACACCGUGCCACCUGUCCACACUCCUUGGCUCUGCCAUCAUGCUGAAGAUCGCUUUAAAGGACUGGCUUCCCUCCCCCCAAAAUUAAAAGAGCACAGACUGAGAAACUGAAUGUGGGAGACAGCAGUGGAUUAUGCUGUUCUCAGGGGUCACCUCAGGUUUGGAAGCAUUCUUUCAAAUUAACCCAUCUCAGGCCAUCUGCAGAGAAGAAAGGUGGUACCUAACUUUUUUUCUUGUCGGCAUUUGGUAGGGGUGUUUUAUUGACCAAAUAUGUUCCCACAACCUAGUUUUUUGUGACUAACUAAAUAUAGUAGAGUUUUAAAUUUUAUCAUCAAAAUCUAUAGACAAUUUUUGAUGAAAAUAGACUCCAUCUCUAUGUCCUGCUUUUCUUCUUCUUAUUAAUUACAUUGCUGUAUAAAAGAACAAGACUUCAGCAUCAAGAAUAUCUUGUCUCUUGGCAUUGAAUUUAUACAAGGUGCUCUUUCUUUAAUGCUGUCUCAAAGGACAUAUUUUUACUCAUUAAAAAGGAAGAUCGGAAUCUAGUUGUAUGCACUGCUCCAACAUAUUAAUAAUUAAAAUUAGGAGGUAAAUGUGGUCAAAGCUAUAGAAAGACUGAGAUGUCAUUUAUAUGGAUUACUCUAUAGCACUCUACAAACAGAAAUUGUUAAAUAAUAGUUUAUAUAAAUAUUUUGUAGCAUUUCAAAUAUUUGAGUGCUUGAAGUUUCUCCUCUUCUAUAGUUCAGAUUAUCAAUUUGAAGACUUACUCCGCUAGUUAAUAUGUUUUUAGUCUCGUUUGAGUAUUAUAUAAAAGCAAUUUUCAGUUAAAUGUGUUCCGCUUACAUAAAACGUUACAAAUUAUUGAGGAUUUAAUUACUUAUUCAUGUUCCUGUAAUGUCUUUAGAAGAUUUUCUUAUUAUUACCUAUCAAUAUAUGUAUGCUUUGUCAAAGAAAAAUCAAACAUAUAUAUCAUUGAAAUUGAAACUUUUUAAAAGUACUUA
rnacentral:lncRNA from 1 species